GGGAAAGGGGUUUUUCAGGAAGAAGAGAGUGGGAAGCGAGAGCAGGACUGGUUCCUUGCCUUAGUAAUGACAGGAAGCAAAUGACCCAUGAGACUGAAACUGCACAGAUUCUGAGGCCUGCACGUGGGGAGCUAUGCGAAUUUUAUUUGAAGCACUGUGAGCUUCCAGAAUGCUGGACACAUUCACAUUCUGUUUGUUGAUGAUGUGUGCCAUAGUCACAGUUACUAGUGAAGAAAAUCAAAAACUGACAGCUGUGAAAGCCAUUGGCCUAACACUACCCAUAUUUCACCCUCUGAUGUCUAAAAACAAUGCAGCAGGACAUGCUGCUUUCUUCAUCGUGACUGAAACAAUCAGUGCAUCAGCAGCAAUCUGAGCACGUGUUUCGGCUGGUUCCAGGUUGAUGGCCAUCCUGCCUUGCUUUGAGGGUAUUAUGGCAACAACUGAUGGGGUGCUUUUUGGAGGCAGUUUGGUUUUCUCACUGUCACCACUGUCAGUAACAAUAUUGGAAUUCUUCAGGCUGCAUGCUUCAGAUGUGACUUGAUGUAUUUCUGUGGCCCCCCUCACCUCAGGACAGUGAGCCAAUGUUUACCAAAAAUUCUUAUCAAACACCCUCGAUGGAACAGUGCCAUGCAAAGGUGCAUUGGGAGGCCUACUAGUGGGCAAAGAGCUGGAAAUGAGAAGACCUGAAUGAAUGACAUAGAGCCCUGGCAUAGCUACUGAAGACAUGAGAGUGAGCAUUUCCACUGUAAACCCA
rnacentral:lncRNA from 1 species